rnacentral:rRNA from 1 species
CUCUCCCUCGCGAUUCUUCCCCUCUCGCCCCAGAUCCGCCGCUCCACGCGCACCCGCCACCAUCGCCGCCAUGGACUACCUCCCCCGUUGUGGCCACCGUCGUCCUCGCCGGCAGAUACUGCGUUAGGAGCUCCACCUGCUCCCUCUGCUUCUACUCCGACCACGAGCCCAAGACCUACGCCACUGCAUCGAGCUCCUCCCUCUUCUUCUGUCGCCGGCGCUUCUCCGACGAAUUGCUCGCCGUCUGCUGCUCCCGUUCCUCGCAGAGCCUUCCUUGUGCUCCAUGACUACGAGACCGACGCCGCUGCUGGUGCCCCGACCGACUACGCUGUUGACGACCCCUCCUUCUUGCCAGAGCAACCAG